ensembl:lncRNA
CACCCUCUCUGUACAGAGUUGUCAUGUAGGAAAUACUAUUAGUAGAUUGCUCUAUUUUUCGCUUUAUGUCUACUUUUUACUUGCUUUAUUUCCACCUCUCAAAAAUGUAACUUGUAACUUACCCACAGAACUUGUGAACUGUUCAGAAAAUAUAACCCACAGGAUUUGAGAGAAAAGGGACCAGUAAGUGCAAAAUGCAAACUUAUUUCAGGCAUUUCAGGUUUGUUCUUGCAGCACUUUCUAGAAGCACAUAUGUAGCCUAGGGUUGCUUACUGUGCCCAUUCUUAGAUGGGUCUUUAAACCACCGUAAAACUACACUCAUACAUGAAGAAUACAAAACUCAAACGUCAUUAAAAACCUAGAAAGGAUAUGAUGCAAGGGACAAAAAGUUAAAAGGAGGGACAUAAAGCAAUAAACAGCAAUAAACUCAAAGAAAUCUUUUUGACUUUUGAUCUUCACCUUCUUGCUGAGUGUUAUAAGAGCACUGCUGCCUCUCAUGUUUGUGCAGGACAUCUGAAGCUACAGCCAGUGUUUGGCUGGCUUAUCGUAGCACAGAGGAGGCCUCUACGUGCUAGUAGUGCUGAUUUUCUAACACUGGAAAAUAACUCAAAAUGUUAGAAAUAUUCCAGUGUUAGAAAAUCAGCACUGCUCAGUGUUAGCCAUUGUUAAUCUUCAAAACUGACUAGGUUACUUUUAAACAUAUAACACUGUCAAAAGUGUUACAGGUUUUUUUUUGGUUUUUUUUUUUUUACAGCCACUAGGACACAUUUCUCAAUACUUAGGUCACUUUUGCAAAACUCUUCACACAACUCCUCUAACUGACCUUCAGCUUGGCAAAGCAGUUCAUUUCACAUUCAAAAUGCACUACAACUACCAAAACACUUUAUUCAGGUCUCAAAUAAACUCAUUCUUCCAGAACACUAGCAAAGGUUGACAGCCGACAAACACACUUUGUCACCCACAAAACAAUGACCUAAAAAACACUAACAACAUGUAGCAUUACACAGUGUUUUCUUGUGUAAAACAAGGACACAUCUCUGUUUAUAAUUUCAAUAUAUGUUACUGGAAUGAAUCAGACAUCAUGUAUUUAUGUUUAUGUAUUUUUAUUUUUUUGCACUAAGUAAUCCCAAAAUACAAGAAUUUGUAUACACACCAUCCACUGAUACACAUACAAUAGUAAUGCUAAUCUACUCGGUCUUCUCCAUUUGGCCACAGGUUCUCAUCCACAUCACAUCUUAUGUCAUCUAGGGCGAUACACCUAGGAAAGAAUCUCCUGGCAUGCCUGAUCCAUCCCUGGCAAUCUUCUGCUGAUAUUUCCAGGCAUCCAGCAUUCAUUGCAUCCAGGAGGGACAUUUGAUCAUGUGGAUGAUGGUGGUAAAGCUUCCACCGCCAUGAGGAAAAGAAUUCCUCUAUGGGGUUGAGGAAUGGAGAGUAAGGUGGGAGGAAAAGAGACUCCAUUCUGGGAUGGGCUGCAAACCACUUGCACAACCCGUCCAUAGAGAUCAUGCAGGAACGCAAGGAGCCGUUCAGUGUUGUAUGGCCCAAUUAGUGGUCUGUGUAACAGCAGUCCAUCGGUGGAUAUUGCUGCGCACAUUGUGAUGUUGGCACCCCUCUGGCCUGGGACAGUCACUGUGGCUCUCUUCCCAAUCACAUUCCUCCCUCGUCGCCGUGCUUUGGCCAAGUUGAAACCUGCCUCAUCCACAAAGAUGAAAAUGUGGUGCGUUUGCCUGCCUUCAAUCUCCAUGACUCUCUAACAUAAAUCCACAAGGCAACAUAAGCUGUUACAGUAGUAAAUUUGUAAAAAUUGUCUUUGUGUGUGUUUGGUUUUGUUCAAAAACAGAUCUGUAUUUUAUUGUGAUCUUACCUGGACAUACUGGUUCCUGAGUUGCUUGACAUGUUCAGAGUUCCUCUCAAAAGGCACAGUGUACAACUGUUUCAUCCUGACCUGAUGUUUUUUCUGGACUUUAGAAAUUGUUGUUAUGCUUACACUGUGAAUAUUUGCGAAAGUAACGUUGUCUGCCAAGACUCUGUCUAAUUUCAGUGAGUUUUAUCCCAUUGUUUCUGAUGACCAUAUCAACAAUGGCAGUUUCCUGCACAUCAGUGAACAUCCGUCCUCUCCCUCCUAUGUGAGGUAACUGUUGAGUCCUAAGCAGAAAUGCAACAAAAAUUACACAAAAGCUUAUUUACUUCUGAAAUGUGCAAAUGCCCCUGCAGAAUACAAGUUACCUGUUGGUUUGCCGGAAAACUCUAACAAUAGAUGCCACUGUAGAGCGUUGCAGAUUUGGCUGCACUCUCUGACCAGCCUCUCUCAUUGAGUGACCAUGAUUUACUACAUGAUCAAUUACAGUAGCUCUGAUCUCAUCUGAGACUACAGCUCUUGAUCUUCCUCUUAUUCUUCUUCCACCACGCAUACCUCGCCCCCUCCCAGCCACUCUUCUUCCUCUUUCAGCCACUUCUCCAUUUCUGGCUGGGUCCAUGUUUACAUCACAAAACAAACCUAUUCAGCAGUUGUCUCCUUUUGUAAUGAAAUUGAAGGCGUAACACCUGUGUAGAUGUUCAUCUACAAUGAGAAUCAGCUGUUGCUGGUUAAACUGCACUUUUAGAUUUAAAAUAUGUUUCAAUAAAAUAUUGCUGUUGAAUUUUGCUGUCUUAUUCAGUUUUGCAUUAUGUUAUUGUUUUGACCAUAAGUUUAAGUUUUGAAAACAGUAUGUAAGUACAUGCAAAAUGUCCUGUACGUACAAAGAUUUUUGGCAGUUGUGUCUGAGUGAGAAAAUAAUUCAUGAAAUUUGAGAGAUGUAGUCAUUGAAUGCAUUUUGUGCCAAAACAAUGAUAACUGAUCCUCAGUUUAGCCCACAUAGACUUCUGUUGUGCUCACUGUGUGAGGAGUUUUGCAAAAGUGACGUAAGUAUUGAGAAAUUUGUCCUAGC